rnacentral:rRNA from 1 species
UAACACGUGGUCAACCUGCCCUACUUGUCGGNGACAACCUACNGAAAGGGAGGCUAAUACCCGAUAUUGUCCAAGCCCGAUGGGGCUUGUUCCAAAGACGGUCCUGCCGUCGCAAGGGGAGGGGACCGCGGCCUAUUAGCUUGUUGGUAGGGUAAUGGCCUACCAAGGCAAUGAUGGGUAGCUGGUCUGAGAGGACGAUCAGCCACAUUGGGACUGAGAUACGGCCCAGACUCCUACGGGAGGCAGCAGUGGGGAAUCUUUCGCAAUGGACGAAAGUCUGACGGAGCGACACCGCGUGGGGGAUGACGGCUUUCGGGUUGUAAACUCCUUUUCUGGGGGAAGAAUAAGGUCGAGAGGAAAUGCUCGUCCGANGACGNACUNCCAGGAAUAAGCAUCG